UACCUCCUGGACUGUGUCCCCCGCCUUCUGUAUCAUCUCCUCCACUGUCCACCACAAAGGUGUACUGUCCACCAGUGUACACAGGGCCUGGAACUGCAACACCAACCACAGUCUCAAAAUCCUCUCCAGUCUCCGGGUCACCUGAUGCUGCAGUGACACCCCCUGACAUGCUUUCAGAGUCCUUAUGUCCUGACCUUUUUCCCCCACCUUCUACACCUUCUCCACCA